ACGUGUUAAAGCGUUUCAUCCAGAAGCAAGCAAUCUCUGCCCUCGUUACCAAGCGGAGCAGGUUUCCGUUCGUUCUGAGGUGUGAAUGCUGUUUGAUCUGAAUGAGUCAUCAGACACCUCAUCUGAUCUGACAUGAUUCAUUACUGCGUGUUAUCCUGAAGACCAGCAGAUACUGGUGCAGACGUGUUUCUGAGGUCAGCCAUGUUCAAAUGUGGAUCAGAACGAAAACACUCUGACUUCACAGCUGUUUGGCAUUAAUAUCUGUUCAUGUCUAAAUGAAGUAAUCCUGGACUUGCGACACACAGUCUGCAGACAGGAAGGACGAGAUAUGAAUUUAUCCUCAUGAAAUCCCAUCCUGCUAUUGUUCUUGUGUUUCUGACGACACAUUACAGCAGCAGAACGAGGAUCAGUGUUUAAUGUUUUUAACUUUCUGAUCACAACACAAUGACAAACGGUCCCGAGGAGGCGGACUGACGCACACGAGAGCAGCAGCGAGUUAUCAGCGGCGUUCAGUGCCGUUAUCUGCAGAAGAACACAGCUGCUCUUACAGAUACAGAAAUAACCGCACAAACUCCAGAAACACUUCUGAGCCCUUCCUGCGCUGGAAACCACCAAAACAAACUGCCAUGCCUCUACAGACCAGAAUCAGCUGAUCCAGGAGCGGCCCUCGAAGACGAGCUCUCACAGCACUGAACCAGAAAAACCCGGACUCACCUCCAGCGAGUGCAUCCUGCGAUUCAGCCAGACUCUCACAGACUCACUGCAGCUGAACCGAGCGACGGAGGAGGUCUGUGACACUGAACCACACACAUGUGUGAAGCUGGAAACAUUCAGCGGUCGGAGAGUCGAGAACAAGAGCUUCACAACAAACGCAAGAGUUCAAACAGACGAGAAACAGGCCGCACGUGUGAAGGAUUCAAAGCGAAACAGAAAUAGGAUUUUCCUCACUUUAUACAAUACGAAUUCGUGUCUACGCAUCUUCACGGAGAUAAACCGGAAAACAGCAGAAUCAAUGAUGGAAUGGAGAUUCUGCUUUGAUACAAUCUGUCCUGUACAAAUCAUUGUAGACAUGAAGGUGAUGAUAAAUGAAUUUCAGGAGCAGACAUUAUUUGUCACUCUGCAGGACCAUUAAAUAACAGCCUUUAACGAAAA